rnacentral:rRNA from 1 species
GAUGAACGCUGGCGGCGUGCCUAAUACAUGCAAGUCGAGCGAACGGACGAGAAGCUUGCUUUUCUGAUGUUAGCGGCGGACGGGUGAGUAACACGUGGAUAACCUACCUAUAAGACUGGGAUAACUUCGGGAAACCGGAGCUAAUACCGGAUAAUAUUUUGAACCGCAUGGUUCAAAAGUGAAAGACGGUCUUGCUGUCACUUAUAGAUGGAUCCGCGCUGCAUUAGCUAGUUGGUAAGGUAACGGCUUACCAAGGCAACGAUGCAUAGCCGACCUGAGAGGGUGAUCGGCCACACUGGAACUGAGACACGGUCCAGACUCCUACGGGAGGCAGCAGUAGGGAAUCUUCCGCAAAGGGCGAAAGCCUGACGGAGCAACGCCGCGUGAAUGAUGAAGGUCUUCGGAUCGUAAAACUCUGUUAUUAGGGAAGAACAUAUGUGUAAGUAGCUGUGCACAUCUUGACGGUACCUAAUCAGAAAGCCACGGCUAACUACGUG